GAUGAAGAACGCAGCGAAAUGCGAUAAGUAGUGUGAAUUGCAGAAUUCAGUGAAUCAUCGAAUCUUUGAACGCACAUUGCGCCCUUUGGUAUUCCAAAGGGCAUGCCUGUUCGAGCGUCAUUUGUACCCUCAAGCUUUGCUUGGUGUUGGGCGUCUUGUCUCUAGCUUUGCUGGAGACUCGCCUUAAAGUAAUUGGCAGCCGGCCUAUUGGUUUCGGAGCGCAGCACAAGUCGCACUCUCUAUCAGCAAAGGUCUAGCAUCCAUUAAGCCUUUUUUUCAACUUUUGACCUCGGAUCAGGUAGGGAUACCCGCUGAACUUAAGCAUAUCAAAAGCGGAGGA
rnacentral:misc_RNA from 1 species